CAAGGGGAGGGGGGCAGG
rnacentral:misc_RNA from 1 species